GAUGAACGCUGGCGGCGUGCCUAAUACAUGCAAGUCGAACGAAACUUCUUUAUCACCGAGUGCUUGCACUCACCGAUAAAGAGUUGAGUGGCGAACGGGUGAGUAACACGUGGGCAACCUGCCCAAAAGAGGGGGAUAACACUUGGAAACAGGUGCUGAUACCGCAUAACCAUAGUUACCGCAUGGUAACUAUGUAAAAGGUGGCUAUACUACCGCUUUUGGAUGGGCCCGCGGCGCAUUAGCUAGUUGGUAGGGUAAAGGCUUACCAAGGCAAUGAUGCGUAGCCGAAUUGAGAGGUUGAUCGGCCACAUUGGGACUGAGACACGGCCCAAACUCCUACGGGAGGCAGCAGUAGGGAAUCUUCCACAAUGGGCGAAAGCCUGAUGGAGCAACGCCGCGUGGGUGAAGAAGGUCUUCGGAUCGUAAAACCCUGUUGUUAGAGAAGAAAGUGCGUGAGAGUAACUGUUCACGUUUCGACGGUAUCUAACCAGAAAGCCACGGCUAACUACGU
rnacentral:rRNA from 1 species